ACUUGCUUAGAGGCCUUGUUUGUACUUUGUAAAAUGUAGGAUUGGGCACUUGAGUUGGAAGAAGUUUUCAUAGUUGAAAGAUAAUGAGAGUUUGAUAAGUUUGUUCCAUAUAAAAAUAAAAUCAAGAACAAGAUUCUCCUUUGGCAUGGUUCUCAUUUGAGAAACUAUGUUGGUAUUUUAAGCCAAGGACUGCGAAUAGCUCCCCCUAAAGCUUUUGCAACCAGCUACAUGUUUGGAAAAGGGAUUUAUUUUGCUGAUUUGGUGAGCAAAAGUGCUCAAUAUUGUUUUACUGACAAGAAAAAUCCGGUUGGCCAAGGUCAGUUAUACUUAUAUGUGAAAUAGACAGUGUGUUUUAGCAAUUAACUAAU